UGUAGGUAUAGUAUCUUUUCAUUUCUUUGAAUUCCUUUGUUAGGAUUUCUGGCUCCAGCAAUUGGUUAGCUGAACUGGUUAUUUUAUGUUUUCCUGCUUUAUGCCCUAUAUAAUGCUCAUUACUAAUUGAAAAAAUAGUCUUUAGUAGACCUUGUCCCUCUUGAUGAAAUUCUAGAUGUACAAAUUGUAACUUCCAUCUUGUCUCUUUGUACCCUGCUGAAAAUUAAACAAGUUUAGGUGGUGUUAAGAGGCAUGGAGGUGAUAAUGCAGACAGUAAUCCCCUGGUCUUUCAAUGUCACCAAUAUGUCCAGCACCUCUUUGUCGCUAGUUUUGGAAAGCUGGAAACUAUGAUUCAGGGCUUAUUUUCAAGUCGUCCUUGAAAAAUUCUUCUUUCAAGAUGCUUUGAUGACUUUAAAUUUUCUAUUAAUUAUGAGUCAGGCAGUGAUUGCCUAUUGUUUUUAAAUUAUUUGAAGUGAUACAACUAUUUUCUUCCUUUUUCCUGCCAGUUAAGAUAUGUAUGUGUACUGAGGACAUGACCUAAGAUAGGAGGUUGUGGAGGACACGAAUUAGGGUAGAAGGUUCUAGGUAGAAGUGCAUUGUCUUGUUAUUCGUCCAUACUAGUAGUUGUAGUAUUGCACUUAUAGUUUCUUGUCCUUUGAUUUUUGUUACUAUUUAUUGUUUCUUGUACUUUGAUUUUUGUUACUAUUUAUUGUUUCUUGUACUUCGGCUAUCAUAUGAUUCUGUUGUAGUACUGUUUUGUUACUAUCUUUUGUUUCUUGUACUUCAUUAUUUUUUCAGAAUUGUUUUGAACUAUUUUUCUUGAGACAAGGGUCUAUCGGAAACAAACUCUACCUCUGAAAUAGGGGUAAGGUCUGCGUACACUCUAUCAUCUCCAAACCCCACUUUGUGGGAUUACACUUAGGAAUGUUGUAUUAAUUUCUUGUAUCUAUUUUUUUAAUGCAUCCAAAUUUGGAAUCUCUGUCCAUUCAGCCCUAUCUUUUGAGAAAACUGUAAACACUGUUUGCAAGUAAAAGGGUUUUUAUAGCUGGUGUAGCUGAUGAUACUGGAUAUCAGUGGGCUAUUGCUAAGUCCCUGGCUGCUGCAGGUGCCGUGAUUCUAGUUGGAACCUAGGCCUUAUACAUUUUGGAAAACAAGUCUGCGACAUGGGAAGUUUGAUGAAUCACGGGUGGUAAGCUAAGUUGCUCAGACUCUUCAUAAAUGUUGUUGCACUUGUGUUGGAUUCUCCAAACAUGUACUACUUUUGAAGGAUUCGACAGGCCCCCAGUGACAUUUUUGAAGAGUCCAAGCAACAUAGGUGAUUAAAGCAAAUAAGCGUUUUGCUGGUUCUUCUAAGUGGACAUUUUGGGUAUGUAGUUCUCCACAUCCACACUUCUUUGUGCACGCUGAACAAAAUGAACGAACUCAAACAGGGUUUUGCACACUAAAGAGCCAGAAAGUAAAAUAAGUAAAGCAUGCAUCUUGAUUGUUCUUUAGGUACCUUUUCAGGGCAUGAUACUGCAUACUAAGCCAAGGGUCUACCGGAAACAACCUUUCUAUUUUUGCGGUAGGGUAAAGUAUAUUCCACAUUAUAUGCUAUGUUUUAAAUGCCAUAUGGUAUAUCCUUGGUGUGAAAUUAAUUUGUUUUUCUUAGGAUCUUACUUCUGAGCAUCUAGUUUCUGUCUACUAUAUACUUGAGAUUCUUAGUGAGAAAGAGGCAACUCACCAAGGGGUGGGGGGCAUCCUCAUUUCAUUUCUCUUUCUCAACAAAUUAAUGAUAAACUAAAAGGGUGCGGAUUAGGGAAGAAGAUUAGUAAGUAAUCGAGUGUUGUCGCGCUUUAGGUGGGAGAUAAAGGGGCCUAGCUCCAUCUCUUCUCAACUUAUCAGAAGUAGAAUUUAGUAAUCAAGUGUUUUACUCUCA